rnacentral:rRNA from 1 species
GACGAACGCUGGCGGCGCGCCUAACACAUGCAAGUCGAACGAGCGAGAGAGAGCUUGCUUUCUCGAGCGAGUGGCGAACGGGUGAGUAACGCGUGAGGAACCUGCCUCAAAGAGGGGGACAACAGUUGGAAACGACUGCUAAUACCGCAUAAGCCCACGGCUCGGCAUCGAGCAGGGGGAAAAGGAGCAAUCCGCUUUGAGAUGGCCUCGCGUCCGAUUAGCUAGUUGGUGGGGUAACGGCACACCAAGGCGACGAUCGGUAGCCGGACUGAGAGGUCGAACGUCCCCAAUGGGACUGAGACACGGCCUAGACUCCUUCCCUCGGCAGCAGUGGGGAAUAUUGCACAAUGGGGCAGACCCUGAUGCAGCGUCGCCGCGUGGAGGAAGAAGGUUGUCGGUUUGUAAUCUCCUGUUUUUGGGGAAGAUAAUGACGGUACCCAACAAGGAAGUGACCGCUAACUACGUG